rnacentral:rRNA from 1 species
UACGGAGGGUGCGAGCGUUGCUCGGAAUCAUUGGGCGUAAAGCGUACGCAGGCGGCUCGCUAAGUCGGGUGUGAAAUCCCGGGGCUCAACCCCGGAAUGGCGCCCGAUACUGACGAGCUUGAGUGCGGGAGAGGAAAGCGGAAUUCCUGGUGUAGAGGUGAAAUUCGUAGAUAUCAGGAGGAACACCGGUGGCGAAAGCGGCUUUCUGGACCGACACUGACGCUCAUGUACGAAAGCGUGGGGAGCAAACAGG